GGCCCGAUAGCUCAGUCGGUAGAGCAAUGGAUUGAAAAUCCAUGUGUCGGCGGUUCGAUUCCGUCUCGGGCCA
rnacentral:tRNA from 1 species